rnacentral:rRNA from 1 species
UACAGAGGGGGCAAGCGUUGUUCGGAAUUACUGGGCGUAAAGGGCGCGUAGGCGGCCUUCUAAGUCAUGCGUGAAAUCCCCGGGCUCAACCCGGGAACUGCGUUUGAUACUGGAAGGCUUGAAUCCGGGAGAGGGAUGUGGAAUUCCCGGUGUAGCGGUGAAAUGCGUAGAUAUCUGGAGGAACACCGGUGGCGAAGGCGGCAUCCUGGACCAAUUCUGACGCUGAGGAGCGAAAGCCAGGGGAGCAAACGGG